GACGAACGCUGGCGGCGUGCUUAACACAUGCAAGUCGAACGGUGAAGCCCUUCGGGGUGGAUCAGUGGCGAACGGGUGAGUAACACGUGAGCAACCUGCCCCUGGCUCUGGGACAACCACUGGAAACGGUGGCUAAUACCGGAUACGACCCGCCUCGGCAUCGAGUGUGGGUGGAAAGUUUUUCGGCUGGGGAUGGGCUCGCGGCCUAUCAGCCUGUUGGUGAGGUGAAGGCUCACCAAGGCGACGACGGGUAGCCGGCCUGAGAGGGCGACCGGCCACACUGGGACUGAGACACGGCCCAGACUCCUACGGGAGGCAGCAGUGGGGAAUAUUGCACAAUGGGCGAAAGCCUGAUGCAGCGACGCCGCGUGAGGGAUGACGGCCUUCGGGUUGUAAACCUCUUUCAGCUCCGAAGAAGCGAAAGUGACGGUAGGAGCAGAAGAAGCACCGGCUAACUACGUG
rnacentral:rRNA from 1 species